AAGUCUUUCUCUGAAUAAAUAGGAUGGACUUGAUAGGAGUUCAAACCAGAGUUAGUGUAGCGAAGGUGGAGGGAAAUGGACAAAACUGAGAAAUGUCUGGAAGGUGAAAUUUGCAGAACCUGAUGUGCGAGUAGACAGGGAGAGAACAGGCUCAAGGGUUAGUGGUGCAUUUGCCCUAACAUAGGAGAGACUGGGAGACAGAACUGGGGUCUGGACGUCCCUCGAGAGAGGCUAGAAGGGUCCAAAGGAGAAUACCCAUAGGAUACUGUGGCUAGACAUC